UGAUAGCGAUCAGGGUAUGGGCAUGGAGUGUGUGUCAGGUUGCAUAGCGGAAUCGAUAUAUUGGUAUUACAAUAUUUUAAUGCUUUAAUGUUAGACUGGAAAGGGAAAAGUAAAACCAAAAGGAAACCAAAUGGGUUAAUGAAAAACUCCCUAGGCAGUAGGUAAACAUGUGUUGAAAUCGAAAAUACGCUAUCUGAUUCUCUGUCUUGACACAUCCAAUUACAGAAAAAGCCACAUUUGAGGCCACCACAUCUCGCCGACAACAAAGACAUCGCCAUACAUGUCGCGAUGACUGUGCGAUCUACAUGAAUUAAAUACUUAAAUGUGUAUUUACAAGGAACAAAUAAAAUUCGAUAAAACGGA